AAAAAAAAACCUAGGAAUCUGCCUGGUAGUGGGGGAUAACGUCCGGAAACGGGCGCUAAUACCGCAUACGUCCUGAGUGAGAAAGUGGGGGAUCUUCGGACCUCACGCUAUCAGAUGAGCCUAGGUCGGAUUAGCUAGUUGGUGGGGUAAAGGCCUACCAAGGCGACGAUCCGUAACUGGUCUGAGAGGAUGAUCAGUCACAAUGGAACUGAGACACGGUACAGACUCCUAGGGGAGGGAGACGUGGGGAAUAUUGGAUGAUGGGCGAGAGCCUGAUCCAGCCAUGCCGCGUGUGUGAAUAAGGUCUUUUUUUUUU
rnacentral:rRNA from 1 species